UUAUUUGAGAGUUUGAUCCUAGCUCAGGGUGAACGCUGGAAAUGUGGAUACCGGCAUGCAAGUCAAGGGGCCCAGGGAUGUAGACUCUGAACGCGAAUCUAAAUUGAGAAGCGAAAAAAUGUGAUAAUUUCAAUGUUUCUUGCGACGAAAUGUAGUGACUACUACAUUGAGGAGUAAAAACGAAGAAAUUAGCCAUUUUUUCGCUUCCCUUCGGGCUUUCAUAUUUUGAUUAUCUUCUGCGUCUUCGGAGCUUAACGAUGCCUACAGCAUCGCUUCGCUCCUCAGUUCUUGAAUAUAAUCAAAAUAUGGAAGCUCAAUUGAUUCUGUUCAGAGUCUACAUCCUUAAGGCACCGGCGAACGGCUUAGUAACACGUGGAUACAUACCGCAAAGUGGAGCACAGCUCGUCGAAAGACGGGGUAAUUCUCCAUAAUCCCGCAAGGGUAAACACGCAAGUGGCUUUGUGAAUGGUCCGCGGUCUAUCAGCUAGUUGGUGAGGUAAUGGCUCACCAAGGCUAUGACGGAUAGGGGGCGUGAGAGCGCGACCCCCAAGAAUGGCACUGCGACACGGGCCAUACUCCUACGGGAGGCUGCAGUCGAGAAUCUUCCACAAUGGACGAAAGUCUGAUGGAGCGACAUUUCGUGAUGGAUGAAGCCCUUCGGGGUGUAAACAUCUUUUAUGCGGGAAAAAAUUAUUGAUUGUACCGCAUGAAUAAGGGGGUACUAAUUCUGUGACCCGCAAGGGUGGUGCAGAAUAUUCGCAGUAAUGCGGAUAAAGCAAACUUGGCUCAUAUGCUGGAACACCUUGUGUGUCCGCUAACUCCUUUCAUUUUUGAAAGGCGCGCACAAGACAAUCAGCAGGGAAGCUGAUAUAUGUUAUAAUAAACAUAUAUUUAGCCCCUCAGAGACUGAAUCCGAAAGGAUGAAAUGGUGGCAUAUAACCCACCAUUAUACGCCGAGCUCCUGGUUUUUAAUCAGGAUGAUGGGAUAGUCCAGUGGCACAUUAUCGUAUAUGGAAACAAAGGCGCGAGCAAUAUUAAUUGGAUUAAUUCUUGGAGAUGGAUAUUUAACAAAGCCGUUUGGUAGCAGUACCAAAUCUAUGCUGGAUAUUAAAUAUCAUGAGAAAUCUUUAGAGUAUCUUCAAUGGAUGCAUAAAGAGUUACAAGAAUUACAACUUUCUGAAAUCAAAAAGAAAAAAGGGGCUUCCCAAUAUCGGUUUUAUACUAAAACCAGAGAUGAUAUUGGCCGGCUUCAUGAGAUAUUUUAUCCUGGCGGAGUCAAACAUAUUCCAAAAGGUAUUACUAAAUAUCUUAAAGAUCCGUUAACUUUGGCCGUGUGGUAUCAAGAUGACGGAAAGCUAGAUUUCAGGAGCAAAUAUCAUUCCAAUUCAUUAUUUGCGACAUAUUGUUUUCCCUACGAUGAAUGUGAAUUAUUAGCUAAUGCAUUGCGUGUAAAUUUUGACUUAGAUGUGCGAGUCUGCAAAUGUCAAAUGCGUGGAAAAAUGUAUUAUUCUUUAUAUGUGACCUCAAAAAGCAUGGAUUUAUUCAUGCAGAUUAUUGAGCCACAUAUACAGAAAUGCUUUUACUAUAAAUUAGUAAAGUAUCGCAAAUAACUAGCCAGCAGUAGCGGUAAUACAGAACCCCCGAGCGUUACCCGGAUUUAUUGGGCGUAAAGGGUUGGUAGGUGGCGUAGUAAGUUCAAGAUUAAACCUCAUCGGCUUAACCUUUGAGCUGUUUUGAAUACUGCUACACUAAGAGGGCGUUAGAGGC
rnacentral:ncRNA from 1 species